AACGAACGCUGGCGGCGUGCCUAACACAUGCAAGUCGGACGAGAAAGUUUCCUUCGGGAAGCGAGUAAAGUGGCGCACGGGUGAGUAACACGUAGACAACCUGCCUUCCAGUCCGGGACAACCUUUCGAAAGAAGGGCUAAUACCGGAUAACACUUUGGGCCGCAUGGCCUGGGGUUGAAAGAUUUAUCGCUGGAAGAGGGGUCUGCGGGACAUUAGCUAGUUGGCGGGGUAACGGCCCACCAAGGCGACGAUGUCAGCGGGUCUGAGAGGAUGAUCCGCCACACUGGAACUGAGACACGGUCCAGACUCCUACGGGAGGCAGCAGUGGGGAAUAUUGGACAAUGGGCGCAAGCCUGAUCCAGCCAUGCCGCGUGGAUGAAGAAGGCCCUAGGGUUGUAAAGUCCUUUCGGCGGGGACGGAUAAUGACGGUACCCGCAGAAGAAGCCCCGGCCUAAUUUCGU
rnacentral:rRNA from 1 species